CAGCCGCCGCGGUAAUACGAAGGGGGCUAGCGUUGCUCGGAAUCACUGGGCGUAAAGGGUGCGUAGGCGGGUCUUUAAGUCAGGGGUGAAAUCCUGGAGCUCAACUCCAGAACUGCCUUUGAUACUGAAGAUCUUGAGUUCGGGAGAGGUGAGUGGAACUGCGAGUGUAGAGGUGAAAUUCGUAGAUAUUCGCAAGAACACCAGUGGCGAAGGCGGCUCACUGGCCCGAUACUGACGCUGAGAGACGAAAGCUAGGGGAGCAAAUGGGAUUAGAUACCCGCGUAGUCCCUGUCUCUUAUAC
rnacentral:rRNA from 1 species